UGCGAGACCCACGGCCCAGGUUC
rnacentral:misc_RNA from 1 species